CAUUGAGUAAUAAUUUAUUUAUUUAUGUGUUUACAUUUGUCUAAGCAUUUUGUUAUAUAAUAUUCAUAUUAUAGAUCAAUAGAUGAAUUAGUGUAUAAUCAACAUACGUAAAUAUUAAGUUUUUCGCGUGAUCUAUAUUAUGACUAAUAUUUUUACGUAUUUUUUGUUGAUUGAAGACGAUAUAAUAAUUGUAAAAAAAGUUCAAAAUGUACAACUGCAAAUUAUUCGUAAUUAUUGUAUUGGCGUUAAUUAAUGUAAUAGCAGUACAAGCCAGAAUAUUCUUUACAAAACGGACUUUACAUUCGCCUUUUGGAAAAAUGGCUUACGAAAAAACAGAUGCCGCAAAAAAAAUUGGUGUUAUCAUACAUUAUACAUCAUACAUUACAAAAAAAGUUAAUAGUUCGACGAUAAUAUUGCCAAGGAUUGUUGGUUAUUCACUGCUAAAACUCGUUAUAACGUAACGUAUAAUAUAUUUUUAUUAUAUUUAUAUAUACAAAAAAUGUCUUAAGACUCAAAUGAUAAAAAACGAGAUUGGAUAUUCGAAAAGUGUAUUGGAUGUAUUGGAUUAAAAAAUAUACCCAAUAUCAUUUGUUCAUAAAUAUAGGUAAAU
rnacentral:lncRNA from 1 species